GUCGGCAGCUAGCUCUCUGCAACUCUCACAUGGUCGCCCACUGAAGCUAAGCAGGGCUGCGCCCGGUCAGUACUUGGAUGGGAGACCACUUGGGAAAGCUAGGUUGCUGCCGGAA
rnacentral:rRNA from 1 species